rnacentral:lncRNA from 1 species
AUGCCAGCUGACCUUUGCCAGCAGCGGCACCACGGCUCGGGCAGGCCCUGCCCCUCUUGGGAAGCUCAGCAAGGCGUGUCCUUACCGCCCUCCCAGGAGCAGGGGCCAGGCUGGGCUGGCUUCAGUUUCAGGGACUUGUUCAAGGGUGAGGAGCACAGCCAGGUGGGCGGGCAGCAGCAUGGACCGGGAGGGCCCCCGGCACCCGGGAUGCCACCGGCGCGGGCACCUGCUGGCUCUGACUGUCACUCUCCUCCUCACCUGCGGGCCAGGGGUGCCAUGGAAUGCAGUGGCCUUUGCCCAGACCUCAGAGCAGGUGACAUCUGAAGCUACCAGACAGUCAACACAUAAUCCUUCAUCUUCAGCACCACUCAUCAACUCCAUGGGUAGGUAAUAAUAAAGGCCAGUAACAACUAGCGUUUAUUAAGUUC